UACAGAGGUCUCAAGCGUUGUUCGGAUUCAUUGGGCGUAAAGGGUGCGUAGGUGGCGGGGCAAGUCAGGUGUGAAAUCUCGGGGCUCAACCCCGAAACUGCACUUGAUACUGCCUUGCUCGAGUACUGGAGAGGAGACUGGAAUUUACGGUGUAGCAGUGAAAUGCGUAGAUAUCGUAAGGAAGACCAGUGGCGAAGGCGAGUCUCUGGACAGCAACUGACGCUGAGGCACGAAGGCCAGGGGAGCAAACGGG
rnacentral:rRNA from 1 species